rnacentral:rRNA from 1 species
AUGAACGCUGGCGGCGUGCCUCAUACCUGCAAGUCGAGCGAACGGACGAGAAGCUUGCUUCUCUGAUGUUAGCGGCGGACGGGUGAGUAACACGUGGAUAACCUACCUAUAAGACUGGGAUAACUUCGGGAAACCGGAGCUAAUACCGGAUAAUAUUUUGAACCGCAUGGUUCAAAAGUGAAAGACGGUCUUGCUGUCACUUAUAGAUGGAUCCGCGCUGCAUUAGCUAGUUGGUAAGGUAACGGCUUACCAAGGCAACGAUGCAUAGCCGACCUGAGAGGGUGAUCGGCCACACUGGAACUGAGACACGGUCCAGACUCCUACGGGAGGCAGCAGUAGGGAAUCUUCCGCAAUGGGCGAAAGCCUGACGGAGCAACGCCGCGUGAGUGAUGAAGGUCUUCGGAUCGUAAAACUCUGUUAUUAGGGAAGAACAUAUGUGUAAGUAACUGUGCACAUCUUGACGGUACCUAAUCAGAAAGCCACGGCUAACUACGUG